GGUCCUAGCUCAGUGGUAGAGAACCUGCUUUGCCUUCAGGAGGCUCCAGGUUCAAUUCCUGGCAUCUCCA